CACUGCACAACCUUCCAGCUGGAGUAUGGAAAAGCAAAACACUAAAAGGUCGUAAAACGAGCAGUUUUUAGUAAACAGCCGCGUUUAUUAAAAUUGAAGGUUUUCUGUUUGUUGACGUUUUUACUGAACGUGUUGUCUUUCUCAUAAGUAUCAACAGUGUACAGUUGUGACGAGUGCUCUAUGGAGUUCCCAAAGCUCCCCCCUCACUCCGGCUCUGUGUUAUCAGUAGUGGACAUGCACACAGGCGGAGAGCCGCUGCGCAUUAUCCUGAGUGGGUGUCCAGAGGUGAAUGGGGACACCAUCCUUGCCAAACGACGCUAUGUGAGAGAGCAUCUCGAUCAUCUUCGCAAGGUGUUAAUGUUUGAGCCCCGUGGUCACUAUGAUAUGUACGGAGCCCUGCUGGUCAGAAGUGAGUUAGCAGAGGCUGAUCUCGGCGUCUUGUUCAUGCACAACGAAGGGUACAGCACCAUGUGUGGCCACGCUGUCAUUGCUCUUGGGCGCUUUGCGGUGGAUUAUGGCUUGAUUAAAGCGCCCACUUCACCAGAGACGCAGAUAAACAUACACUGCCCCUGUGGCUUAGUGAAGGCCUUUACACAGUAUUCCAAUGGGACAACUGGAGCUGUCAGAUUCCACAGUGUGCCAGCCUUCGCUUUCGCUACAGAUGUGAGCGUCUCAGUACCAAGAUAUGGGCCCAUCACUGUGGACAUCAGUUAUGGUGGAGCUCUUUAUGCUUUUGUGAGUGCUGAGAAAUUUGGAUUGGAUGUCAACAAGUCCAAGACUAGAGAUUUGGUGGAUGCAGCCACUGCUGUGAGUGAUGCUGUCAAAUCCCAGGUAAAGCUAUACCAUCCAGUCAGUGAGGAUCUGGCCUUCCUCUAUGGCACAAUCCUUACUGAUGGCAAAGAUGCUUUUUCUGAAGAGCCCACAGCCAAUGUGUGUGUGUUUGCUGAUGCACAGGUGGACAGAAGCCCUACAGGGUCAGGCGUCACUGCUCGUAUAGCUCUUCAGUACCAUAAAGGCCUGAUCGAACUCAACCAGACCAGAAGCUUCAAGAGUGGAGCUACAGGAUCAGUGUUUACGGGAAAAGCAAUAGAGGAGACCACGUGUGGGGACUUCAGGGCUGUGGUAGUGGAGGUCACAGGUCAUGCUCACUACAGCGGUGUGGCCAGCUUCACCCAAGAGAGCGACGACCCUCUGAGAGAAGGCUUUCUUCUGCGCUGACUUAAAGGUUACAACUGAUAUUUCUGCUUCUGAUUGCAGGAAAUCGCAUUUACUCCUAACACCAUGUGUGAGUGUGUGGAUAAAGGAAACAGAUCUGAAUAAGUCACUGUACAGAGGUGGGUGGCCUUCACGGAUGAGAUAUUCCUUACAUACAACGUACUAAGCCAACAUCAUGAAAUCCACUGUGUGGGACUGUGGAGGUGAACAGCACGACGCUCAUCGUGGUGCCAAGAUGAAAUAAAGGUCCAAGCCAAUCAACAAUGGAGCAACAUUUAGUAGGUCUACAUCACACUUCUCUGGGAUAAACUUCAGCAUCUGGAGCAGUGAAGAAAACACCAAUUACAACAGCACUAAUAAUAGAGAAUCAUCCUUAACCAGUCUUGAAUGAGAUUAUUUUGGAAGACUAUUGCCGCUUGAUAUAUCUCAAUUACAAAUUUAUAUCUCAAAAUGUGACCGUUUUCCCUAACUGCAACUUUAUGGCUCACAAUUAUGAUUUUAUCCCUAAUGACUACGACGUUAUAACUCACAAUUGCAUAUUUUUCCAUAAUAGUGACGUUAUAUCUCUCAACUGGGACUUUAUAUCUGAAGAUGUGACUGUUUUCCAUAAUUGCAACUUUAUGGCUCACAAUUGUUAUUUUAUGUCUCAUGAUUGCAAUGUUAUAUAUAGCUCACAAUUGCGACUUUUUUCCAUAAUUUACAAAUGCAACUUGGAUCUCACAGUUGCAAAUGUUUCCAUAAUUGUGACUUUCUAUCUCACAAAUUAUGACCUUUUCCAUAAUUGACACUAUGUAUCCCAAAAAUGCAACUUUUUUUUUUUCCAUAUUUGCAAUUUCUUAUCUCACAGUUGAGACUGUAUAGCUCACAACUGCAAUUUUUUUCCCAUAAUUGCUACUUUAUAUCUAACAAUUGUGGCUUUUUUCCUUAAUUGUGUUUAUUUUCCACUGUGUCUUAGUAUCUCACAAUUGUGACUCUCACAGUUGGUAUUUUUUAUUGUACAAAUAUGACUUUAUAUCUCACAAUGUGACUUUUUCUUAUAUUAAACUUGCUCUCAUCAUUACCUGUUGUAAAAAAAUGUU